AAGGGAAUCCGGUGCGAAACCGGAGCUGUCGCGCAACUGUGAGCGAGGAGCCUCCGUCCGAAGCAAGCCACUGAGGUAGCAAACACCUCGGGAAGGCGGAUAGGGGCGGCGAUCCGCGAGCCAGGAGACCU
rnacentral:ncRNA from 2 species